AUGGAGGAUGGGGACAAGGAUGUGAUAAAAACUUCUGUCAGUGAAGAGUCCCCUAAUCCUGGAGAAAAGGAUGUGAUAAAAACUUCUGUCAGUGAAGAGUCCCCUAAUCCUGGAGAAAAGGAUGUGAUAAAAACUUCUGUCAGUGAAGAGUCCCCUAAUCCUGGAGAAAAGGAUGUGGUAAAAACUUCUGUCAGUGAAGAGUCCCCUAAUACUGGAGAAAAGGGUGAAGAUGAAGGGGAUUUGUCAAGGAAAACAGAAAUAUUGAGCGUAAAAGAAACAGUAAAUUCAACGAGUGAGAAUUCAAGCGAUGAGGUAAAAGGGCAGUUCCAUGGGAGAGAUAACCCAGAAAAGGAUCUCAAUGAGCAGAUGGAUAAAAGCAGAAGCCCUGAUGCCAUGAAACCUGUAGAUUCAGACCAGACUGUGAAAGAGAUUCUUGAAGAAGAAAAAUCUGAAGAGCCAGUUUUUGAUGGAACUGAGAUUCCUGAAAUGGAACCAAUGAGGCGUUCUUCUGAUCAAUCUGUGGAGCUUGAUUCAAAAGCUCAGCAAGGGUCUGUGAUCAAUGAAAGAGCUGCUGCAAUCGGGAAUUUUGUUAAGGAAAAGGGAGCCAUUGUAGUGUCAACAUUUAUACGCCGCCUAUCUGGCAGAAAGGAUGAGAAUGAUCUUCCUGUUGAAGUUGACAAGAAUGAUGUUUCAGCAAGUGGCAAUGGUGAGAAGACCGUCUCAGAUUCUGAAAUUAAGCCAAAAGAGGUACAGAAGAAAUCCGAGGAAAGAAGCACAUGGAAUCCACUGAACUUGAUUAAAGUUGGAGGAGAUAUUGUUACUUCUACAACUGGGGAAGCUGGGGAUGCAAAUGUGCCUGGUUUGACAGAGCAACCAAUAGCAAAAGGAAGGAUUAUCGUAUACACAAAACUGGGAUGUGAAGAUUGCAAAAUGGUUCGGUUGUUCAUGCAUCAGCAAAGGCUCAAGUAUGUUGAGAUUAACAUUGAUAUAUUCCCUAGUAGGAAGUUGGAGUUGGAAAAGAAUACUGGGUCAUCCAUAGUACCAAAAGUGUAUGUCAAUGACCUGCUGAUUGGAGGCUUAACUGAAUUGAAGAAAAUGGAGGAGUCUGGCAUACUCAAUGAGAAAACUGGUGCUCUUUUCAAUGAUGAGCCCUCCUCUGCUGCUCCUUUGCCUCCUUUACCCGGAGAAGAUGACGAAUCUGGAUGUGGGAAGAUGGAUGAGUUGGCAACCAUCGUCAGAAAAAUGAGAGAGUCGAUUACACCGAAGGAUAGGUUUUACAAAAUGAGAAGAUUUAGUAACUGCUUUCCUGGCAGUGAGGCUGUGGAUUUUAUAUCAGAAGAUCAGUAUUUGGAGAGAGAUGAGGCAGUGGAAUUUGGAAGAAAGCUUGCAAGCAAACACUUCUUUCGUCAUGUUCUAGAUGAAAAUGUCUUUGAAGAUGGAAAUCAGCCUUACCGUUUCCUAGAUCAUGAUCCCGUUAUUAUGACACAGUGUUACAACAUCCCUAGGGGCAUCAUUGAUGUUGCACCAAAACCCAUGGCGGAAAUCGCAUCAAGGUUGAGAAAGUUGUCUUGUGCCAUUUUCGAGGCUUAUGUAUCUGAAGAUGAUAGGCAUGUUGACUACAGAAGCAUCCAGGGUUGUGAGGAAUUUAAAAGGUAUAUUAGAACAACUGAGGAGCUUCAGAGGGUGGAAACUAGUGACCUGUCACGUGAAGAAAAGCUUGCUUUCUUCAUAAAUCUGUACAAUAUGAUGGCUAUCCAUGCGUUAGUGACAUGUGGUCAUCCUGCUGGACCAUUGGACAGGAAAAAGUUCUUUGGAGACUUUAAGUAUGUCAUUGGUGGAUGUGCCUAUUCACUGUCAGCUAUUGAAAAUGGCAUUCUGCGUGCCAACCAAAGGCCACCAUACAAUCUUGUGAAACCUUUCGGACAGAAAGACCAAAGAUCCAAGGUGGCCCUAUCAUACCCUGAACCUCUUGUUCACUUUGCUUUGGUAUGUGGUACCAAAUCUGGGCCUGCACUUCGGUGUUACUCGCCGGGAAAUAUUGAUAAAGAGUUAAUGGAAGCUGCACGAGAUUUCGUAAGGAAUGGAGGACUGAUUGUUGAUCCUGAAGCAAAGGUUGCAUCUGCAAGCAAGAUCUUACGAUGGUAUAACACCGACUUUGGUAAGAAUGAGACAGAAGUACUGAAGCAUGCAGCAAAUUAUCUGGAGCCUGCAGCGUCGGAGCAAUUCUUGGAGCUGCUCGCAAACACUCAACUGAAGGUCUCGUAUCAGCCUUAUGACUGGAGCUUGAACAUCUAG
rnacentral:rRNA from 1 species